GACGAACGCUGGCGGCGUGCUUAACACAUGCAAGUCGAACGGAGUUACUAACGGGCGAGUAACACGUGGGUGACCUGCCUUGCACUUCGGGAUAAGCCUGGGAAACUGGGUCUAAUACCUGCUAGUGGGGGCUGGGCCCGCGGCCUAUCAGCUUGUUGGUGGGGUAAUGGCUUACCAAGGCGGCGACGGGUAGCCGGCCUGAGAGGGUGGACGGGCACAGUGGGACUGAGGAACGGCCCAGACGGCUACGGGAGGAAGCAGUGGGGAAUAUAGGACGAUGGGCGGAAGCAUGGUGCAGCGACGCCGCGUGGGGGAUGACGGCCUUCGGGGUGUAAACGCCUUUCACCGUCGACGCGGUAGAUGGAGAAGAAGCACCGGCUAACUACGUGCCAGCAGCCGCGGUAAUUC
rnacentral:rRNA from 1 species